CUGGGUGUGGCGCAGCUUGGUUAGCGCGCAAGCUUGGGGUGCUUGAGGUCGGAGGUUCGAAUCCUCUCACUCAGA
rnacentral:tRNA from 1 species